rnacentral:rRNA from 1 species
CCUUUGUACACACCGCCCGUCGCUACUACCGAUUGAAUGGCUCAGUGAGACCUUCGGACUGGCUCGGGGAGGUUGGCAACGACCACCCCGAGCCGGAAAGUUGAUCAAACUCGGUCAUUUAGAGG